rnacentral:rRNA from 1 species
UAAGGAAUAUUGCGCAAUGGAGGCAACUCUGACGCAGCCAUGCCGCGUGAAGGAAGAAGGCCUUAUGGGUCGUAAACUUCUUUUAUUUAGGAAUAAACUCUCGUACGUGUACGAGACUGAAGGUACUAAACGAAUAAGCACCGGCUAACUCCGUGCCAGCAGCCGCGGUAAUACGGAGGGUGCAAGCGUUAUCCGGAUUUAUUGGGUUUAAAGGGUGCGCAGGCGGACCGAUAAGUCAGUGGUGAAAUCCCGGGGCUCAACCCCGGAACUGCCAUUGAUACUGCCGGUCUUGAAUACGGUUGAAGUAGGCGGAAUGUAGCAUGUAGCGGUGAAAUGCAUAGAGAUGCUACAGAACACCGAUCGCGAAGGCAGCUUACUAAACCGAUAUUGACGCUCAGGCACGAAAGCGUGGGGAGCGAACAGG